rnacentral:pre_miRNA from 1 species
AAUCUUGAUUUAGUCAUCUCGCUCAUCCUCAUAGGAAACUUUGUAAAGAUAUUUUCAAAGUUUCCUAUGAGAGUGAGCGAGAUGACUAGAAUAGACU